UACAGGGGGUGCAAACGUUGCUCGGAAUCAUUGGGCGUAAAGCGCGCGUAGACGGUUUUGUAAGUCAGAUGUGAAAUCCCUGGGCUCAACCUGGGAACUGCAUUUGAUACUGCAUGGCUAGAGUAUCGAAGAGGGAAGUGGAAUUUCCGGUGUAGCGGUGAAAUGCGUAGAUAUCGAGAGGAACACCGGUGGCGAAGGCGGGUCUCUGGGCCGUAACUGACGCUGAGGAGCGAAAGCAUGGGUAGCGAACAGG
rnacentral:rRNA from 1 species